UUCUUAUCCAGAGAGGCAGAGGGACUGGCCCAAUGAAGCCUCGGCAGCGGACUCUUAUGAGUACUGUGCCAAUUCCAGCAGGUGUGAGCCUGGGAGAUAAGAA
rnacentral:ncRNA from 2 species